UGCAGUCGACGGAGUGUUGCGCUGAAUUGAGAUUAGCUUGCUAAAGGAAAUUUCUUGUAACACUUAGUGGCGGACGGGUGAGUAACGCGUGAGGAACCUGCCUUACAGAGGGGGACAACAGUUGGAAACGACUGCUAAUACCGCAUGAUGUGGAGGGGAGACAUCUCCCUUUCACCAAAGGAGCAAUCCGCUGUAAGAUGGCCUCGCGUCUGAUUAGAUAGUUGGUGGGGUAACGGCCUACCAAGUCGACGAUCAGUAGCCGGACUGAGAGGUUGAUCGGCCACAUUGGGACUGAGACACGGCCCAGACUCCUACGGGAGGCAGCAGUGGGGGAUAUUGCACAAUGGAGGAAACUCUGAUGCAGCAACGCCGCGUGAGGGAAGAAGGUUUUCGGAUUGUAAACCUCUGUUUUUAGUGAAGAAACAAAUGACGGUAGCUAAAGAGGAAGCCACGGCUAACUACGUGCCAGCAGCCGCGGUAAUACGUAGGUGGCAAGCGUUGUCCGGAAUUACUGGGUGUAAAGGGUGCGCAGGCGGGAUUGCAAGUUGGAUGUGAAAUACCGGGGCUUAACCCCGGAGCUGCAUCCAAAACUGUAGUUCUUGAGUGGAGUA
rnacentral:rRNA from 1 species